rnacentral:tRNA from 1 species
UAGUCUAGUGGUUAAGGCAAUGGAUCGCCAAUCCGGAGAUGGCGGGUUCGAUUCCCGU